rnacentral:rRNA from 1 species
AUACGGAGGAUCCGAGCGUUAUCCGGAUUUAUUGGGUUUAAAGGGUGCGCAGGCGGGAACUUAAGUCAGCGGUGAAAUCUCGACGCUUAACGUCGAAACUGCCGUUGAAAACUGGGUUUCUUGAGUAUAGAUGAAGUAGGCGGAAUUCGUUGUGUAGCGGUGACAUGCUUAGAUAUAACGAGGAACUCCGAUUGCGUAGGCAGCUUACUAAGCUAUAACUGACGCUCAAGCACGAAAGCGUGGGGAUC